AGUUUGAUCAUGGCUCAGAUUGAACGCUGGCGGCAGGCUUAACACAUGCAAGUCGAGCGGGGAAAGGUAGCUUGCUACCUUACCUAGCGGCGGACGGGUGAGUAAUGCUUAGGAAUCUGCCUAUUAGUGGGGGACAACAUUUCGAAAGGAAUGCUAAUACCGCAUACGCCCUACGGGGGAAAGCAGGGGACCUUCGGGCCUUGCGCUAAUAGAUGAGCCUAAGUCGGAUUAGCUAGUUGGUGGGGUAAAGGCCUACCAAGGCGACGAUCUGUAGCGGGUCUGAGAGGAUGAUCCGCCACACUGGGACUGAGACACGGCCCAGACUCCUACGGGAGGCAGCAGUGGGGAAUAUUGGACAAUGGGGGGAACCCUGAUCCAGCCAUGCCGCGUGUGUGAAGAAGGCCUUUUGGUUGUAAAGCACUUUAAGCGAGGAGGAGGCUCCCAGUAUUAAUACUACUGGAGAGUGGACGUUACUCGCAGAAUAAGCACCGGCUAACUCUGUGCCAGCAGCCGCGGUAAUACAGAGGGUGCAAGCGUUAAUCGGAUUUACUGGGCGUAAAGCGUGCGUAGGUGGCCAAUUAAGUCAAAUGUGAAAUCCCCGAGCUUAACUUGGGAAUUGCAUUCGAUACUGGUUGGCUAGAGUAUGGGAGAGGAUGGUAGAAUUCCAGUGUAGCGGUGAAAUGCGUAGAGAUCUGGAGGAAUACCGAUGGCGAAGCAGCCAUCUGGGCCUAAUACUGACACUGAGGUACGAAAGCAUGGGGAGCAAACAGGAUUAGAUACCCUGGUAGUCCAUGCCGUAAACGAUGUCUACUAGCC
rnacentral:rRNA from 1 species